UUGGGGUUUAAGGGUCCGUAGGCGGACUUAUAAGUCAGUGGUGAAAGCCUGUCGCUUAACGAUAGAACUGCCAUUGAUACUGUAAGUCUUGAGUAUAUUUGAGGUAGCUGGAAUAAGUAGUGUAGCGGUGAAAUGCAUAGAUAUUACUUAGAACACCAAUUGCGAAGGCAGGUUACCAAGAUAUAACUGACGCUGAGGGACGAAAGCGUGGGGAGCGAACAGGAUUAGAUACCCUGGUAGUCCACGCCGUAAACGAUGCUAACUCGUUUUUGGGCUUUAGGGUUCAGAGACCAAGCGAAAGUGAUAAGUUAGCCACCUGGGGAGUACGCUCGCAAGAGUGAAACUCAAUGAAAUUUACGGGGG
rnacentral:rRNA from 1 species